UAUGUAGCACAUUCCUUACAGAGGAUGCGUUUCAAUCUGCAUAAAAGUGUUUCCUCUUGUCUCUAUCUGGCUUGUAUAUUUUAGAAACCCUGAGGUCUGCGAUGAAGUUGUAAGAGCUCCAAAGAGCAUUUCCCAGAGCCUGGCCUUCCAGCCGUACUCCGAGCUGUGCUGUCCCUCUAAGGUGGUGGUGGACAUCGUGUCCAGGCUGCUCCAGGCCCUCUGGUCCUGCCAGAUGGAAAGCCCCUGUGACCGGUCCUCCAUGGUGCUGAGCGACAUGAGUGUCACCAUAGUGCUGGCAGUAGUGGAGAACCUCUCUAGAGUUCUGAAGGCUCCUCCUGUCGCUCAAGUCUACUACUCCCGUUCCACUGGUGUCAGGAUGGUCCACUCACUCAACCGUAAGAUCCAGUGCCUAAACAGCCCUGAGGACCUUAGGAGAGCUCUUUUCACCCAAAGUUCCACCUUGAUCAGCACCAUCAUUGAAGCUGUGAGCACCAAAGUACAGAGGCUGUUUGAAGCUCCUGCUGACUACAUUCCAUUAAGCUCUAUCCGCAGCUGGCUAUCAGAGCCCAAGGCGAGCGAGGUUCGUCCAAAGUGCCCUGACCAGCUGGUAAUCUCCUCGGAGCUCCUGAGGAACAUCAUUGGUAUGAUAGUUUAUGUAGUCUUCGAAGGCCACCUAGAGGAAGACAUCAACCUUCAUUACUGGCCCCUCAUAAACAACAUAAUCCACCAGCUGUCACUGUGUGGGGUCAAAGUCACAAAGAAAGGGGGCAAGGCCAACUGGCACAUUGGCAGAUCAUUGAGAUGGUGACAAACAUCCAUACUCAUCUUCACCACUAUACUGGCACAGAGCUGGUACUAAAGUUUGCAACAUCUGCCAGGGACACCAUGCUAACGAGGCACAUGGUUCACCAUGUGGUCGAGGAGCUGGUAAAGCUGAAGGACGUGGAUGAAGGGACACCAGCUUCAGGGAGCAGUGAGGUGAGCAAUGAUUACAAGUGUUUAUCUUUAUGAAAGUCCACUCAUACAAAGCAUUUUUGUUGUUGUUGGUAAAAAGAAGAUUUGCAAUGUCGCAAAUAUUACGUUAAAUAGGAUGUCCUUGUUGCUUUCAGUCUGUCACAGCACCCCUAAUCACUAACCCCAUCAAAGUGGACAACAUCACAACAACCAUGACCACGACUCCAGUUGACCUCCAGUCAGGUGUUAAAUUGACACGGAUCACUUUGACAGCUGUCCAUGUCUUACUGUAAUAUAACUUAUUAGCUAAUGUUUUGAAACUAGACAGUUUUGCAAUAAGUUGUGUUUGUAUGAGAUAGAUUUUCUCCUUCUAAUUUCAAGGGAAUGUUGUGGUAAAACACUCAGCACCCUGUAUUCCACCUGCAGGCUUUGCCCCGGCACCAUGCAUAUUACCCCCAGGCUUUGCCACUGCAUCCUGCAUCCCACCACCGGGCUUUGCCCCAGCAUCCUGCACCCUACCACCAGUCUUUGCCCCGGCAUCAUGCCCACUCCCAGCAGGCUUUUCCCCGGCAUCAUGUCCCCCACCACCAGGCUUUGCCUCUCUAUCAUGCCCCCCACUACCAGGCUUUGCCUCUCUAUCAUGCCCCCCACCACCAUUCUUUGCCCCUCUAUCAUGCCCCCCACCACCAGGCUUUGCCCUUCUAUCCUUCCCCCCUCCACCAGGCUUUGCCCCUCUAUCCUGCCCCCCACCACCAGGAUUUUCCCAGGCAUCAUGCCCCCCAACACCAGGCCUUGCCCCUCUAUCUUGCCCCCCACCACUCACUAUCGCGGAUCAUAUCUGCACUCUAAUUCAGAGCAUCACUGCCAGAUCCAACAACAUCGUCAACAAGGAGCUGGAGAAGUGUAUCGACUCUUAUAGUAAGAGCAUCUGGGCUGACACUUUCUACUGUGAGUACAUGAAGAUGUACCCAUCACCCCAGGGGAUUGAAGCCUUCUCAUUUGAUGAGGAGAGAUUUUUAGUGGUGGCCAACAUAAAUUGGCAGAAUAUUGCUGAACAAUCUCCAGCUAGAGAUGCUCCUCUCAGUGGAAGACUUUAAUGUGGAUGAAGUAGGGAGCAGUGGGGUAAGCAACGAUCACAAGUGUUUAUCCUUAUGAAAGUCCACUCAUUCAAUAUUCUCUGAUAAAAAUACAACUAAAUGUUGGUAAAGAGGAGAUAUGAAAUCUAACAAAUGUUCUGUUAAAUAUUGUGUCCUUGUUGCUUUCAGUCUGUGGACUUGAUCCGGGCAAUCCCAGAGACCCCUAACCCUGUCAAAGUGGUAGACAUCACAACACCUAUGACCACUAAUCCAGUCAACCUUGAGGUUUUGGAUGAAACACUUGUCCUUCAGUCAGGCUUUGCCCCGGCACCCUGCAUUCCACCCCCAGGAUUUUCCCCAGCACCCUGCAUUCCACCCUCAGGCUUUGCCCUGACAUCCUGCACCGCAUCGCCAAGCUUCGCCGCUAAUGCCAUGCAGGGCUUUGGCACGAAAAUCAUCCUGAAACAAAUGGUCCUGCUAUUCUUGGAGAGGCACCCUCCUACAUCAGACGACCUUGAGUCAGAGUUCCUCACUAUUGCCGAUCAUAUCUGCACGCUGUUUCAAAGCAUCACUGCCAGAUUCCGCAACAUCGUUAAUGAGGAGCUGGAGAAGUGUACCGACUCUGACAGUAAGCAGUACUGGGCUUACACCUUCAACUGGGAGUACAUGAAGAGGUGCCCAUCAUCCCAGUGCCUGGGGAUUGAAGCCUUCACAUGUGAUGAGGAGAGAUGUUUAGUGGUGGCCACCUUGUUUGCAAAGAAAUUGUAACCCAAGAUGUUCCUCUCAGCAGCAGACGUCGACGAGGCUGAAGAUUCAGGGAGCAAUGGAUCUGUGGACAUGAACCUGGCAAUCGCCGACAAAUUUGUCCCUAACCCUGUCAAGGUGUUGGAGUUGCUUCAACCCCUGUCACUUCCAGACAUCAAAAAGCCCUUGACCACUAUCCAUGACAAAGUGCUGGACAACACAACAACAACCCUGGUUGAUGCCCCAGUUAAGGUGGACAACAUCACAACACCCCUGGUUGAUUCCCCAGUUAAGGUGGACAACAUCACAACACCCCUGGUUGAUGCCCCAGUUAAGGUAGACAACAUCACAACACCCCUGGUUGAUGCCCCAGCUAAGAGGUGGAUAACAUCACAACACCCCUGGUUGAUGCCCCAGCUAAGAGGAGGAUAACAUCACAACAUCCCCUGGUUAAUGCCCCAGCUAAGGUGGACAACAUCACAACACCCCUGGUUGAUGCCCCAGUUAAGGUGGACAACAUCACAACACCCCUGGUUGAUGCCCCAGCUAAGAGGUGGACAACAUCACAACACCCCUGGUUGAUGCCCCAGUUAAGGUGGUCAACAUCACAACACCCCUGGUUGAUGCCCCAGCUAUGGUGGACAACAUCACAACACCCCUGGCCACUAAUCCAGUCCACCUUAAGGUUACGGAUGAACCAGUUGACCUCCAGUCAGAAGAUUUUGUGGUCAUUAAACCAAAGAAAAGCAGAGUCAUGAGAUUCUUCCGUCGACUUUUCUGCUGCAUAUACGAAGAUGAUUUGAUGGUGUGAACCUAACCAGCUUUUCAGAGGAUGACUUCAGCUCACACACAAACACACGGGCGCGCACACACACAUAUACGCAUGCACACACACACACACACACACCAGAUGUUGUUUAACAUGAGUUUUGUAUGUUAAAUAUUUCUCUAUAAUUUUUCCUCAUUAAAUAUUUUAUUAUGUCUUCAUUCAAUGACUCUUUUUA